GUAUCGUGCCAUCUCUAAUCUGAACUACACUGUCUUGGUGGGACUCUGAAUAAAGGACUUUUACUCUUCUUUCACCAUCAGCUGGAGCACAGGCUUUAAGGGGACAUCAUUCAUGAAUGUGUUUGCAGCCUGUUAAAGGCAGUCAAAACAGAGUCAAGAGGGCAAAGUUGUUUCUCAACUUUACACCUAUCACAAAGAGCCGAUGAAGAGGAGGCCCUGCACGUGAAGAAGAUGCAGAUCAGCGUGUGAGGUCCAGAGCGAUGAGCGUGUCUGAACAUGCCGAUGAAACAAACGGCGGAACAGCCUCAAAGGCAAAGAGCUUCUCUCUGCACACUCAGCGUGCUCACUCUGAUUAACGUGAAGUGAAGCAGGACACAGUGAUGGAGGCCGACCCGGAGCCAGAGCCAGGAGGGGGCGGCUGGUCUUCUGGGUGGGGGUCGUUUCCGUGGAUUGUUUCAGAGCUGGGAGGAGGAGGAAUGAAAAAAUAAAGCACUGUACCAAUCAGAAUUAUUGUCUGAAGGCCAAGAAAAAUGCUCAACAGAUUUUAUUUCCCAAGUGUUCAUUUUGUGCAAUUUCUUUCACUACUCUGAGCCCACGCUGUGUGUUGCAGAUGUGACCAGCAGGGGGCAGCAGCUCCCUAAACUCUGCUUCUCUGACUGUAGCUUUGAGUUCUGGGGGAGGAUGAAGAUUUCUGCCUCCUCUGCUGUCCCAGCUCGUGUUUCUGCAGAACAUGGCCCCCCCUUGGGGGGGGUUCCGGACAUUUCCUGCUCGCUGCGAUAACAAAAUGAGCUCAACAGUCUUCUUCCUGCACAUUAACUGCUCUGCCUCAGAGUCUACCGGCCCCAAAGAACCACCAUACUCGAGGCAGACCUCAUCCCAGUGCUACUUUCCUCUCACGGUUCAAUUUGUUGGACUAACUGAAGAUUUUCUCAGUAGUCAAGAGUGAAAAAUAGUAAGACUUCCGCAUGUGUGGAUGCCUGAACGCAGAGAAUAAAACUAACUAAAACUCAAAACAAACACUGUCGACCUGCAGGACGACCCAAUCAGUCCAAACACUGUCUCCGGACAGUUCCUGCAGGUCUCUUCUGGACUCUGGUUCAUCAUGAUCCAUCUCAAUCAUUAAAAAGCAGAGGCCUCAGACUUUGGUCAGGGAAACCCGUCAGCUGAUUCUGACUCAUUUGUUUACGAGCUCCAGCUGAUUUUUCCACGGAAACGACCCCCACCCAGGCUGUGAUCAGCUGACCUGCUGCUCCGUCAACUACAGCGUGAUGUUUUUAACACGGAUGAAGGGCUUUUAUUAAUGACUUAAUAAAAAUGAAAUAUUAGGA